rnacentral:rRNA from 1 species
GUAGGUGGCAAGCGUUAUCCGGAAUNACUGGGUGUAAAGGGUGUGUAGGCGGGACNGCAAGUCAGAUGUGAAAAUCAUGGGCUCAACCCAUGACCUGCGUCUGAAACNGUGGUNCUUGAGAGUGGGAGAGGUAGAUGGAAUNCCCGGUGUAGCGGUGAAAUGCGUAGAUAUCGGGAGGAACACCAGUGGCGAAGGCGAUCUACUGGACCACAACUGACGCUGAGGCUCGAAAGUGUGGGUAGCAAACAGGAUUAGAUACCCUGGUAGUCCACACCGUAAACGAUGAUUACUAGGUGUUGGAGGAUUGACCCCUUCAGUGCCGCAGUUAACACAAUAAGUAAUCCACCUGGGGAGU